GCACCCUUAGCUCAGCUGGAUAGAGCGCUGCCCUCCGAAGGCAGAGGCCAGAGGUUCGAAUCCUCUAGGGUGCG
rnacentral:tRNA from 1 species